rnacentral:pre_miRNA from 1 species
UCCGUCCUUAGCGUGGUGCCUGAGAUUUUAACACGUAUCGUCUCAAGUACUGCGCGCAAGGACCGA